UUUGACCUCAAAUCAGGCAGGACUACCCGCUGAACUUAAGCAUAUCAAUAAGCGGAGGAAAAGAAACUAACAAGGAUUCCCCUAGUAACGGCGAGUGAAGAGGGAAAAGCUCAAAUUUAAAAUCUGGCGGUCUACGGCCGUCCGAGUUGUAAUCUAGAGAAGUGUUUUCCGCGCUGGACCGUGUACAAGUCCUUUGGAACAAGGCGUCAUAGAGGGUGAGAAUCCCGUCUACGACACGGACUGCCAAGCGCUUUGUGAUACACUCUCAACGAGUCGAGUUGUUUGGGAAUGCAGCUCAAAAUGGGUGGUAAAUUCCAUCUAAAGCUAAAUAUUGGCGAAAGACCGAUAGCGAACAAGUACCGUGAGGGAAAGAUGAAAAGCACUUUGGAAAGAGAGUUAAACAGUACGUGAAAUUGUUGAAAGGGAAACGCUUGAAGUCAGUCGCGUCUUCAGAAAUUCAGCUGGGCUUCUGCCUAGUGUACUUUUCUGUGGGACGGGCCAGCAUCAGUUUUGGCUGCCAGAAAAAGGUGGGAGGAAGGUGGCACCUCCGGGUGUGUUAUAGCCUCUGAUCGUAUGUGGCAGCCGGGAUUGAGGACCGCAGCACGCCUUUAUGGCCGGGGUUCGCCCACGUAACGUGCUUAGGAUGCUGGCGUAAUGGCUUUAAACGACCCGUCUUGAAACACGGACCAAGGAGUCUAACAUGCCUGCGAGUAUUUGGGUGGCAAACCCAUAUGCGGAAUGAAAGUGAACAGUUGGGACUUCUGUCAUGGAAGGCACCGACGCCCGGACCAGACCUAUUGUGACGGAUCCGAGGUAGAGCAUGUAUGUUGGGACCCGAAAGAUGGUGAACUAUGCCUGAGUAGGGUGAAGCCAGAGGAAACUCUGGUGGAGGCUCGUAGCGAUUCUGACGUGCAAAUCGAUCGUCGAACUUGGGUAUAGGGGCGAAAGACUAAUCGAAC
rnacentral:rRNA from 1 species